UACGAAGGGGGCUAGCGUUGUUCGGAAUUACUGGGCGUAAAGCGCACGCAGGCGGUCCGUUAAAUUAGAAGUGAAAGCCCUGGGCUCAACCCGGGAAUUGCUUUUGAAACUGGCGGACUUGAAUUCGAGAGAGGGUAGUGGAAUUCCCAGUGUAGAGGUGAAAUUCGUAGAUAUUGGGAAGAACACCGGUGGCGAAGGCGGCUACCUGGCUCGACAUUGACGCUCAUGUGCGAAAGCGUGGGGAGCAAACAGG
rnacentral:rRNA from 1 species